rnacentral:tRNA from 1 species
GGGGUCAUGGUGUAGCUGGCCUAACACGCCGCCCUGUCAAGGCGGAGAUCACGGGUUCGAAUCCCGUUGGCCCCGCCA